rnacentral:tRNA from 2 species
GGGAUUGUAGCUCAGUGGUAGAGCACUUGCCUAGCAAGUGUGAGGCACUGAGUUUGAUCCUCAGCAUCACA